GGAGAGGUGACUGAGUGGUCGAUAGUACUACCUUGGAAAGGUAGCAUACGGGAAACCGUAUCGCAGGUUCGAAUCCUGUCCUCUCCG
rnacentral:tRNA from 3 species